rnacentral:rRNA from 1 species
GACGAACGCUGGCGGCGUGCCUAAUACAUGCAAGUCGAACGCAGUUGGGAACGGGGGAGUAACGUGUAGGUAAAUGGCUGGUAGCGGGGGGAUACUUACGGAAACGAUAGCUAAUACCGCAUACUACUAGAUGGACCUGCGUUGUAUUAGCUAGGUGGUGGGGUAACGGCCCACCAAGGCAACGAUACAUAGCCGACCUGGGAGGGGGAUCGGCCACAAUGGGACUGAGAAACGGCCCAGACUCCUACGGGAGGCAGCAGUAGGGAAUCUUCGGAAAUGGACGGAAGUCUGACCGAGCAACGCCGCGUUAGUGAAGAAGGUUUUCGGAUCGUAAAGCUCUGUUGUAAGAGAAGCGGUAUCUUACCAGAAAGGGACGGCUAACUACGUGCCAGCAGCCGCGGUAAUUC